GAUCAGGCUCAGGAUGAACGCUGGCGGCGUGCUUAACACAUGCAAGUCGAGCGAAGCACCUUGCUUUGAUUUCUUCGGGAUGAAGAGCUUAGUGACUGAGCGGCGGACGGGUGAGUAACGCGUGGGUAACCUGCCUCAUACAGGGGGAUAACAGUUAGAAAUGACUGCUAAUACCGCAUAAGGCCACAGCACCGCAUGGUGCAGGGGUAAAAACUCCGGUGGUAUGAGAUGGACCCG
rnacentral:rRNA from 1 species